rnacentral:rRNA from 1 species
GUAACGCGUAUGCAAUCUACCCUUUACUGGGGAAUAGCCCGGGGAAACUCGGAUUAAUACUCCAUAAUAUUAUGAAAUGGCAUCAUUUUAUAAUCAAAGUUCCGACGGUCAGGGAUGAGCAUGCGGCCCAUUAGCUAGUUGGUGAGGUAAUGGCUCGCCAAGGCUACGAUGGGUAGGGGGUCUGAGAGGAUGAUCCCCCACACUGGUACUGAGACACGGACCAGACUCC